UUUAUCUUCAUCAGCACUAGAUAGAAAAUUUUUCUGCCUUUCCUCCCGCCCCUCAAAUUUGACUCCUGUAAUUUCCUUUUUCUUUUGGUUUCUCUGGUCUACAGUAACCUUCCUUCAUUCUUCUGUCCUGCAAAUGGUAGCAAGAGGUCAGACAUUCCCAAGCCAUAAAGUUCUAACCACAAAAAAGACAGAAAACUUUUUCUGGUAAAAACUUCAGAAACAAUGCCUUGUAGUUUCAUCUGAACUAAGGAACCUCAAAAGUUGGGAAGACUAAUCAGGAAUCAGUUCAGGUGGUUGUGAACCUGACUUGAGUGUGGACCAAGUGUUGAGGUUUGCUCCCUGUCCUGUUUUCAACAUCCUGUCCCAGUGGUCCAGGAGUCUUGUCUAUUGUCUGCCAAGGAGCUCUGCAGCAAACACAGGAUUGCGGGACUCCAGCUUCUCCUAUCCCCCAAGGCAUCAAUCCCAUCCCUUCCUCUGUUUCUGGCCCUUCUAUAUUAUUUCUGGGCAUGCUAUGCUUCCAGUGGAUGAUUUUGCCUCCCUAGUAGCAUAUAGUAAUCUGUUGCCCAUGGGGAGAUUGGCCCACAAAUUUUUAACUAGAUAAUUUAACCUUUAAAUAUUAAAUUAUUUUUUCAGGCAUAUUCCCUUUUUUCCUAUGGCAUUCUAAGGUGUUAUAGGAAUUCAAUAUUCUAUGAACAAAAAAAAUAUGGAAACUGAAAAAGAACAAAAAUCAUUCACAUUAUUACAGUGUAGUAUACAUAUGUCAUAUGUCUUAGGUAAUGUUAUGAUCACUUGUUUAGAUUUUUGAUUGGUAAUGUACUGCACACCUGUUGUUUCUUUGUGUACUCAGUUUCCUCAUUAAACAAUAAAAAACACCCUGUGAUUGCUUGUUUCUAGUUCCAAUAUUUGUUAGCCAUCACUGAAAAAGUAGCAGAAGAUAAUCAUUGCACGACACU